GAACGCUAGCGACAGGCUUAACACAUGCAAGUCGAGGGGUAACAGGGUAGCAAUACCGCUGACGACCGGCGCACGGGUGAGUAACGCGUAUGCAACCUGCCUAGUAACUGGGGGAAUAGCUCCCUAGAAAGGGGGAAUUAACACCGCAUAACACUAUUGAUUCGCAUGGAUUGGUAGUUAAAUGUAGCGAUACAGGUUAUAGAUGGGCAUGCGUGACAUUAGCUAGUUGGUGAGGUAACGGCUCACCAAGGCUACGAUGUCUAGGGGUUCUGAGAGGAAGGUCCCCCCACACUGGUACUGAGACACGGACCAGACUCCUACGGGAGGCAGCAGUGAGGAAUAUUGGUCAAUGGGCGCAAGCCUGAACCAGCCAUGUCGCGUGCAGGAAGACUCGCCCUAUGGGUUGUAAACUGCUUUUAUAGUAGAAGAAACUCAUCUACGCGUAGAUGUCUGCCAGUAUACUAUGAAUAAGCAUCGGCUAACUCCGUGCCAGCCGCUGC
rnacentral:rRNA from 1 species